AACAUGUAUUAUAACUGUCUAGUUAAGUUUUGUGUCUGAAAUAGGUUUUCAAAAGCAUAAUUUAUUCUCUUAACUAUAUUCCUUUCUCUUUUCAGUGUGUCCCUUCUGGGAAAGCCAUCUGACAAUUCCAUCAUGAAAGCUCCUACUGGGAAAAAUCUGAGAUUCCUACCUAAAAAGGUAAAGAAACAGGAAAAGCUCUUAAAAGGAGGUAUGUCAUGUAUUAUCUAAACAUUUUAGACAAUCUGCUGAUUGAGUAAAUCAUAAAUUGUUUUGAUACACAUAACACUUAUUUACUGUAUCUAGAAUUUUAAGACUUUUUCAUUGAUGGAAGAAUUAUUGUAGUUUAUGGCCUGAUAUUUUGGCCAGAAGUGAGGAUUUAAAGAUAAAACUUUAAUGACGGAUACUUUACUUUGUUUUACAAAAACAAGGCUUUUCACUUCACAAGAUGUUAAUUGAUGGACUGGAGUCAUGUGGAUUACAUGUGGAUUAUUGUGAUGUUUUAAUCAGCUGUUGGACUCUCAUUCUGACGGCACCCAUUCACUUCAGAGGAUCAACUGGAAUUCUACAGUGUGGUCUCCUGACUGGUAUGCAGGGAUUCAGAUGGUCAUUGCCUUUCUUGUGCUUCUCAGUGGCAGUCAGUGUCAAUACCUUUGUAGUGCUAUUUUCGUUUCAUUUUUGGGUGAACGGUUCCUCCAACGAUAUCAAACUUGCAUCAUAUUUUAAAGCUAAAUCAUUCAGCAAACUAAAAGUGAAGAUGUGCCUGAGUAUGAACCUAGUGUUUCUUGUGUGUGUGUUUUAAGUGUGUACAUUUUUGCGUGCAGUAUCCCUUUAAAGCCUAAUUCAUAACUUCUGAAGUGUGAGGAAUGUUAUGAUUAUUUUGUUUCCUCUUAACAUCAAAUUUGAAAGCAAAUUCAGUGAAUUUGUUUUUAUGGAAAUUAUGGCAUGGUCGUUUAAAUACCAGGCUGUUUCUGUUUCCCUCACAGGCCUGUUCUUAAUGCUUGGUUAGCAAUGGUGUCCCGUUUCCUGUGGCAUGACCUCGACCUUCUCCACACAUUCUAUAUCUCUGAUAUUCCCAUGGCAUCCUGGGUGCUAGGACUCCUCAGGCUGAUCCCACUGCAUGGUCUUUAUCAAUGAGGGCAUCGAACUGCAUGAGAUCAGUUAAUGCAACCACAACAAUAGAAUAUAAUGGUUACACUUGAUUCAAAAGUUUGUGAUUGGUAAGAUGUUUGUUUGAUUGUUUUUUUUUUUUAACACUUUCUUUAUGCUCACAAAAGCAGUAUAUAUUUAAAUAUAAUAAUAAAAAAAUACAGCAAAACA
ensembl:lncRNA